rnacentral:rRNA from 1 species
UACAGAGGUCUCGAGCGUUAGGCGGAAUCACUGGGCUUAAAGCGUGUGUAGGCGGGCGGGCAAGUACCUUGUGAAAUCCCACGGCUCAACCGUGGAACGGCUGGGUAUACUGCCUGUCUUGAGCCAGCUAGGGGCGAGCGGAACAGACGGUGGAGCGGUGAAAUGCGUAGAUAUCGUCUGGAACGCCGAAGGUGAAAACAGCUCGCUGGGGCUGUGCUGACGCUGAGACACGAAAGCCAGGGGAGCGAACGGG